GCUUGUAGCUCAGUGCCAGAGCGUUUGCCUUGCACCCAGAAGGUCCCCGGUUUGAUCCCUGGCAUCACCA